GUUCUUUCCUUUCGAGGAGAAGAAUCUACUAAAUCCUCGAGUCUGUUUCUCUGGAGUUGGAGCGGAGGAGGAAGAGGAGGAGCUUGAUUUGGUUGGCCUGUGUUUUGGAUGUUUUGAAUUGAUAGGUGAUCUUAAGAAGCUUCCGCCUUCACCGUCGGAAGCACUACAAGGGGAUUCUGCACCGACUACCGGCGUCAUCACAGAAGUGGCAGUAUCCAUUUCGGACCGAUCAAGGUCCAGAAGAUUGGUGCCACUUUUAGAUGGUAGUUCGUCCUCGGUAAACUCUUCAACUCUUUGGCUUCUCUCGCUGAAUGGAGAUCCACUGAAAUCUGGUUGUGGUCGAAGAGAUUUCAACUGCUUGCUGAGAAGAAAAAUUGUUUCUUGACAUUCUGCCAACUUCUCUGCAGCAGCAGUCAACUCUAUCUCCUGGCUCUUCUGGGGAUCACCACCAAUAGCUGAAGAACAAAUAGCGCAGCAAACCUCAUUCCUCU
rnacentral:misc_RNA from 1 species